rnacentral:rRNA from 1 species
AUACGGAGGGUGCAAGCGUUACUCGGAAUCACUGGGCGUCAAGCGCGCGCAGGCGGUCUUUUAAGUUGGAUGUGAAAGCCUACGGCUCAACCGUAGAACUGCAUCCAAAACUAUUAGACUAGAGUGGGGGAGAGGAAGAUGGAAUUAGUUGUGUAGGGGUAAAAUCCGUAGAGAUAACUAGGAAUACCAAAAGCGAAGGCAAUCUUCUGGAACACUACUGACGCUGAGGCGCGAAAGCGUGGGGAGCAAACAGGAUUAGAAACCCGUGUAGUCC